UUAGGCUGCUAUGCCCAG
rnacentral:misc_RNA from 1 species